AUUUUUCUUUUUCUUUCUGGCCUAUUUUGCUGAGCAUGAUCCCUUCCAGCUCCAUCCAUGUUGCUGCAAAUUGCAUGAGUUUAUCUUUUUUGAUUGCUGAGUAAUAUUCCAUGGUGUAUUAUGUACCACACCUUCUUGAUCCAGUCAUCAAUUUUGGGGAUCAUAGUUUUUAACGCUGACAAUUAUCAGGCCCGACAGACAUUACUGUUCUGAGGUUCAUCGAUGAUGACACUGAGCCCAAAGAAGCUGCCUGAACGCAGAACUGAUUAAUGACUGAGCCAAGAUUUCCAUUCCAGAACUUGGUAUACAAUGUUCUUUUCAGACAUAGAGCCGUUCAGAGGAAUUUCAAUUUUCACUCAAUUCAGGAGACUUGCUUCAGAUGACAGAGCACCUCUAAUGAACAGUCACGAGGGUUAAUUAUUUCUCCUGUAACUUUAUUCUCUCCGCGGUGGAGGAAUUCCUCUCCCAGACCUUGGCGACUUCCCCAAAACCAGCAUGGACGGCGUCGGAACUUCAUUUCCCAGAAAGCCCCGCGGCGUACUAUCGCGCGAGGCAUGACGGGCACCCGCCCCUCUUUCUCGUGGAGCGCCCGCCAGAGUCGCUUACAUCAGAGCCUGACGUAAGGCGCGCGGCAUCCUGGGAUAUGUAGUAUUGCCCGGACCCUGACGCCCCCUUGGAUGAAUGGGGCCCGGUCUGGCUGCGAACUACAGCUCCUUGACCCGCAACGUGGUGGCGGCUACGGGGGAAGCGAGCCCGCCGCGGACGGGACGGAGCGGUCCUCGGGCGCGGCGGCGAUGUUCUGUGCGGCGGCCGAAGCAGCAGCCCGGCUUCCUGGGGUAGCGGUCUAGGCGGGCGCUUCCUCAGCGCGCCCGCUCCCCUUCCCCUGCCCCGGCCAUGCGCCCGGCUCUCGGGGUGGGCCUGGUGUUCGCCGGCUGCUGCAGUAACGUCAUCUUCCUGGAGCUCCUGGUCCGAGAUAAAACCCAGUGCAGUGCACGGAGCAGAUGGAAGUAAUGAAUCAGUGACUCGACGGCCCUCCUGAGAGAGGAUACUCACACAGGCGCCAACCAACUAGACAACACAUGGCGUGUCUUCCAUCAGACACACACCUGGGACAUUUCCUUUUCCCAUUUAUUUUUCAUUCAAGUGCCGAACGAACGGUGACUCAAGAAGCAACCAGGAUGUGGGAACAUUGUGACAUUCGCCCAAUUUUUAUUUAUUGCUGUGGAAGGCUUCCUCUUUGAAGUUGAUUUGGGAAGGAAGCAGCCAGCUAUCCCAUUAAGGCACUACGCUAAAAUGGUGGCCAUGUUCUUCACCUCCAACUUGGUGAACAACUACGCGCUGAACCUCAACAUCGCCAUGCCCCUGCAUAUGAUAUUUAGAUCUGGUUCUUUAAUUGCCAACAUGAUUCUAGGAAUUAUCAUUUUGAAGAAAAGGUAAGCAAUAUACUUGUAUUUUAUGUGGUAGAAGCUUCCUGACCCACCAUCCAUAAGCCCAUUUGGAUUCCUUCUUUCAUAGUGGCAAUGAGUUUGCUCUUGAUCAUCUGCCUUAUUUCUUCAUAUCUGUAUGUCUUCAUGUCUGAGACAGUUGACCAGAUAAGAGACCCCACCUAUGACAGAGCAGCAUUCUCUCUGGGUACAACUAAUUAGCUCUUGCCAUAAUUGAAUCUUAAAUACUAUUUUAACCUAUGAAACCAAUGGCUCUAGAGCUUCAGUGACCCAUUUGGACGAUUCCUGCUAGCUCCUGUGACUAGUUGACAUUUCAAUUGAAUUAAUUUACGAUGAAAUGGAAUUAAAUAUUUAGCUUCAGUUUCACUAGUCACUUUGUGAUUGGUGGCCACAGGUGACGAAUGGCAGCCAUCCUGAGAGCUCAGGUAGAGUACAUUUCCAACCCCACAGAAGUUUGUGGGACAGAGCCCUUAAGCAGGUGCCCCAUCAAUACAACAUAAUAAAGAACAGACAAAUGAAAAAAAAAAUAAUUCCUAGCCUAGGCCCAGGGGCCAAAAAGAUGGAAUGAAAUGUGUCAGAACUGUUGUGACUCUCACUGGUAGCUCUGUUUGGGAUUAAGCAUGAGAAAUACCAGAAGUACCUGGGGUGCUUGUUCAAAGUAUUUGUCACCCAUGUUCAUUUUGAGCCUAACCCCUCACUCUCCAGGAGCAGGGGUAUUGGAAAGCGAUAGCACAGUCGGGAAUGUUUCUCAAAGGAAGUUCACCUUCACUGUUGAGACCAAAACCGUACCAGUUGAUGCCAUCUUCUUGACGUAGUCAGUAUUCAGCCCCCGUAUUAGAACUCUCUGUACCAGCCUGCAUCGUAGUUAUUCAUUCAGAGUGUAGGAAUGUAGACUUUCAAGGCUGUGUCUUACAAAGGCCUGCUGUCCUAUCUCAUUAGGCUCCUCAUCAUGAAGCUUUUAUCUCCUUGUGCAUUUUCAGACAAACACCACAUUCUUUGUUGUGUUGAAAGUGAUCCCCUAGUUAUGAGGAGUAUGGAAUUCACCUUGAGCAUACCUGUGGUUCUGCCAACCUUUGAUUUAGUUUCAUGGGAUACAAAAGAACGUUCUUUAAAAGGAAUAUGUUCUCCUGGCACGGCCCUACAAAGUCAGGAGCCUUUGAGAUGCCUCAUUUUCUUGAGGAACUUGUUUUGGGUGUGUCAUCUUGACUAUCUGGGUGAGCCUUUUGACUCUUUUCUCUGUGUGUGUGUGUGUGUUUCCUGUAUGUUUGCUAUCUAAUAUGGUGAAUUAGUAACUUAUUAUCUCCUUU